rnacentral:rRNA from 1 species
ACGCACGCUGGCGGCGUGCUUCACCCCUGCCAGUCGCACGGAAAGGCCCUGCUUUUGUGGGGUGCUCGAGUGGCGAACGGGUGAGUAACACGUGAGUAACCUGCCCUUGACUUUGGGAUAACUUCAGGAAACUGGGGCUAAUACCGGAUAGGAGCUCCUGCUGCAUGGUGGGGGUUGGAAAGUUUCGGCGGUUGGGGAUGGACUCGCGGCUUAUCAGCUUGUUGGUGGGGUAGUGGCUUACCAAGGCUUUGACGGGUAGCCGGCCUGAGAGGGUGACCGGCCACAUGGGGACGGAGAUACGGCCCAGACUCCGCGGGGGGGCGGCGGGGGGAAAUAUGGAACAUGGGGGGGAGGCCGGAGGCAGCAGCGCCGCGGGGGGGAGGGCGGCUUUGGGGUUGAAAACCGCUUCCGCCUGGGACGAAGGGGGGGGGAGGGUAGGGGGUAAAGAAGCACCGGCUAACUACGUG